rnacentral:rRNA from 1 species
UACGUAGGGUGCAAGCGUUAAUCGGAAUUACUGGGCGUAAAGCGUGCGCAGGCGGUGAUGUAAGACAGAUGUGAAAUCCCCGGGCUCAACCUGGGAACUGCAUUUGUGACUGCAUCGCUAGAGUACGGCAGAGGGGGAUGGAAUUCCGCGUGUAGCAGUGAAAUGCGUAGAUAUGCGGAGGAACACCGAUGGCGAAGGCAGCCCCCUGGGCUGAGAUUGACGCUCAGGCACGAAAGCGUGGGGAGCAAACAGG